GAGAAAGGGAGACUGAGAGAUUAUUCGCACAUUCAAGAGGGAAAGAAGGGCAAAGAGAGGGAGUUGGUGUGAGGAAUCGAUUUCAGGUGGAUUGAAGCUCCGUUUCGAUUGUGACCCGGAAAAGAGGCAAAGAGAGGGAGCUGGUGAAAGGUGGGAGUGUUCGAUUUCAGGUGGAUUGAAGAUGAGUCUCGAUUGUGACCCUGGGGAUAGCUGAUGGUUAUAUUCGCAAGGAAAAAGAGGCAGAGAAAAGGAGUUGGUGAAGGGUGCUCGAUUUCAUAUGGAUUGAAACUCUGCUUAGAUUGGAGUUGACAAGGGUGGUGCGUCCAGAACCUCUGAAGAAACUCAGAUUGUGAAGUUUAGUUUUCUGUCGUCAUUUGAUCCAUUUCCGUUCCAUUGUGGUUCUAAAAACCAACUUCGGGGUAUAUAUGAAGGUCUUAAGGCGGCAUGCAGGACAUAAGAUGAUCGAUUUCUGCUCCUUAGGCCUGGACAGAAUGCCUUAAGAAUGCAGAUGGGAGCAGACAGCAUGCAAUAUUUUCAUCUUGAAGGCAAAACCAAUUAGCAUUACUGCGCUUUUGGUCCACUCAAUUCGAAAGCGUAAAACUAGAGCAUGCAUGCUUUCCUUCAGUUCGAGGAACGUGUAAUUCCGGUUAAGGAUUUG
rnacentral:sRNA from 1 species